rnacentral:rRNA from 1 species
UGGGGAAUUUUGGACAAUGGGCGCAAGCCUGAUCCAGCCAUGCCGCGUGCGGGAAGAAGGCCUUCGGGUUGUAAACCGCUUUUGUCAGGGAAGAAACGCUCUGGGCUAAUACCCUGGGGUAAUGAUGGUACCUGAAGAAUAAGCACCGGCUAACUACGUGCCAGCAGCCGCGGUAAUACGUAGGGUGCAAGCGUUAAUCGGAAUUACUGGGCGUAAAGCGUGCGCAGGCGGUUAUGCAAGACAGAUGUGAAAUCCCCGGGCUCAACCUGGGAACUGCAUUUGUGACUGUAUAGCUAGAGUACGGUAGAGGGGGAUGGAAUUCCGCGUGUAGCAGUGAAAUGCGUAGAUAUGCGGAGGAACACCGAUGGCGAAGGCAAUCCCCUGGACCUGUACUGACGCUCAUGCACGAAAGCGUGGGGAGCAAACAGGAUUAGAUACCCUAGUAGUCCCUGAGCGGGCUGGCAAGGCGCAU